UACGUAGGUGGACAGUGUUCGUUCGAUUACUGGGCGUAAAGAGCGCGCAGGCGGUCGUUCAAGUCGAGUGUGAAAGCCCCCGGCUCAACUGGGGAGGGUCAUCGAUACUGAUCGACUCGAAGGCAGGAGAGGGAAGCGGAAUUCCCGGUGUAGUGGUGAAAUGCGUAGAUAUCGGGAGGAACACCAGUGGCGAAGGCGCUUUCUGGCCUGCUCUUGACGCUGAGGCGCGAAAGCUAGGGUAGCAAACGGG
rnacentral:rRNA from 1 species